GGCAGCUCCGAUUCGACCCUUAGCCUGGAAACUUCCCCUAUGCUGCAGGUGGAGCCCUACAAAAUUUCUUUAAAUGCUUCUUUUCCAGUUCUUCAACAAGCCACCAAAUCAGAAGUAGUUAGUUACUGAAACCUCCCAUGAACACCAGGCUUAUAACUCAAAAUUUCAGCCCAACUUUCCCCACUCCCUGUUGUGCAUCUCUGCUCCCCUGGGCAGAGAAGAGCAGCAAUUUUUUCCACCAAGUGGAGCUUCCAGUUCCCCAGGAAUCAGCGCUGUAACCUCUGUGACCACGGCCCCCAAUUUAAGAAAGCUGCAGACGGCCCGCGCUAAACUCCAUCUCACCCUGAGUCUUUUUUCCCCGAGCAGCUUCGCUCCAUAAAACAGUCCAAACUUGUGAAAACGCUUUCACAUGGUUCUGGCCGCGUGGCAAAGCAGGGGCACGAUGCCCUACUUCUGCAGGGUCUGGGCUUUAUUGGAGGGAAACAGGCUUUCCUCUGCUCGUUCUUUCCAUCACUUCUGGAGACAAGCUCUCCAGCUCCAGCUACUCAAACAAAAUGUUCCCCAGUUUUCCUUCCCACACCCGUGACCUCUGUUCCUUGAUGAAGUCCCCUGGAAACGGGCCUGGACUGUGUCCAACCAACUUCUCCAGGCUCUUCCAUCAUGAACGCAACAGAUGUUGUUUCACGAGCUUGGGUGUCCUUUGUUCCUCGCCUUUGAGCGUGUGGGUCAGUCUUCGAGGCUCCAGUGGGGAAGGCUGAGGGGUUGCAUCAGGCCCAGCCCUGGCCUCACCCUUCUCACCCGAGGGCAGGAGAAGGAAGCCCCUUUGUGUGCACAGCCAACAGGCCUGUGCUUUCCUCUCUAGACGCGGCCAGAGGCUGCGAGCCAGCGGGUAGACAGCAUGGGCGCCGGAUCGGCCGGUCCAGCCCCGGAGCCAGAAGGGCCCACUUAUUUCACACGCAGCCGUGAGAUGCUGGACCAUUCCUGCAGCCAGACGCAUUAAAGCGGGCUGACUUUUGCAUCCGUCCCAAUCUCUCCUGAGAGCAAGGGCUGGUUCUUUGCGCUGGAGGAAGGGACCGAGCCAGCUUCCUUGGAAGAAAUCUCCCUGUGACCUCCACAAAGGCCUGGGCUCCGUUGCCAAGGGAGCCUGGAAACCGAGGAGGCGGCGCCGUUAGAGGGCGGCAUGAGCUAAGCCAGAGCUCGGAGCUGGCUCCUCGUUGCAAUUACAGGCUGUCUCAGAGCAGAAGCGCCAGGGUUCCAGUGUCAGCAGAAAAGCAAGUUAGAAAGAGGCAAGGGAGGGGAGGCUGGGAGAGAGCAACAUCCCCCAAGCCCAAGCAGUGCCAGGGAGACACUGCUCUUGGGAGAGCCGGGCUGCGUGUCCCAGCACAUGCUCCCGGGAUAAACCCGGGGAGAGAGAGGCUUCGGGGGAGGCUGGCACCUCCCGACCCAUUAGCCCGCCUUUGAUGGGCUCCCUGGCCUCUGGGCCAGGAAGCCAGGGUGCGUGGCCAGACCCCAAGCAGGCAGGCGCAAGGGGGACCCGGGCAAGGCCCUGAGUGGCCCUUCAUUCUCAGACUCCUGGAACAAGAGGACAAAGGAGCGUCCAGAUGCUGGUAGAUGCCAGAGCCACGGCUGGGUUUUAGCGGGAAGGGCGAAAUUUGACCCCACCCAUCAGGACCCAGCCUCUUUGCCAGUGUAUGGGGUGACCCAGUUCUGAGCGCAGCGCCUGGCUCUGAGCAGACCUGCAUCAGCCUCCCGGCUCGCGGCCCCAGCCCUGCCAGAGAGCUCAGGACAGGCCAUCUUUCCACAGGACAGGAAGGAGCUGGCACUUGGGUGGCCCCUGGAAAAGCGGCUCUGCAUCUCAAAGGCCUCCCUGAGGAUGGAGGACUGGCCUCGGCCCCUCCUCCCACAGCACCCCACAUUCUGAUUCACGGGGUGCCCCACCCUCCACCCCUGGAGAGCAGAACCAGAGCCGCCGCGGCCGGGCCUCACCUCCUCCAGGUCACCAGGGCCAGGAACUGGGGUGCUUGUGCAACCUGAUUAUUCAUCUCCUCCCACGAGCCCUUCGGGGCGGUGGCCCUGUCCACGAUGCCACACCGGGGGCACUUCUGAAUGACAGGCUCUGCCCUAGAAGGCCCAGGCAGGUUCGAGUGUCACACAGAAGGUGACAGGUCCCCAAAGUUCCAGCCCUGGGUUCUCCCCCCAUGGUCGGGCCCGAGGUUCUCCUUCCCUUCUCACUCCCCUCCCUGGUUCACUUUCAUUUCCUGUCCUCCCCCAGGACCCAGCCUGGCAGGCAAGCCCUGAGCUCACCCCCAGAUUGCAGGGUGCCUGUGGUUCAGCCCAUUGCUCUGGCUGACAUUUCCUUAUGGAGCAAUUCCUUGGGUUUUUUUUUUUUUUUUUUGAGCACCACUCACAGAUUUUGUUUCAAUUCUGCCUACUGAAAGCCAGGCACGGGUCCUGAGCGGGCGGCGUAGCAAGGCUGACGGUACCAGGACCUCCGCGUCCCAGCCCUGCACACGUGGCCCUUGGGAGCAGCCUCUGGGCCUCCUCCCCCCUCCCCCGUCCACGCGUUGGUCCAAGUGAGAGGGACGGCAGAGCCUCUAAACUGGGCGCAUGCUAAUUAUAGAAGCGAGCCUCACCAUCGAGAAUAGAACGCCUUUGGAACUGAAUGGAAACUUCACGCUGCCGGGAGAGUUUCCAGUGUCCAACAGCGCUGGGCAAGGUAUUCCGACAAGUUCCCCACUGACAGCAAUGUUAAAGCUGGACGAGAUGUCAAAGAACUCCGUGUCUUUCUGGUUUAAUUUUGAAUUAUUGAGCAGGAAAGAAUAUUGGCUAUUGAUGUGGGAAUCGGAAAGGGCGGAGGUUCCUUCCUCUCCCAUCACCCCGGCUUCCGAAAGCAAGUUAAACCUUAACUAUUCAGCCUGAAAAAAGGGGAUUCCACCAUGUGGAUGGGCCUGGAGGACACGGCGCUCCGUGAAGUAAGCCAGACGCGUGGAGAGAGCAGUCCUGUGGCGGCGACAUUGAGCCGACUGUCCCAGGGACCUGGACGAGACACACCUCCAGGGAGGCAGGGCGACUUCGACAGGACAAACCAGCAGGUCUCCAGCAUGACAAGCGCAAGAAAAGGCCACACCGUGAGAGCAGACCGUUGGGGCUGGCCACCAAGAGCACCUGUCUUCUUUCUAACCAGAGAUGAUGGUGACAUGAACGCCACCCGGGCACCAAGCAAAGCCAGGCAAGCCGAACCCCCUCCACCCCAUGUGCUCUCGGGGUCCACUGUCUCUCCGCCAAACUCCCCACAGGACUGCAGGGCAUUGGGGCUGUCAGUUUCUGGUCCCACCUCAUCCUCUGAUUAAGUCACCAGAGAGCACUGAUUUUCUAGCUAUAAUGGACACUCUAAUGCUUGCCUUUUUUGGGGGGUCUUUUUAGGGCCAUACCCAAGGCAUAUGGAGGUUCCUAGGCUA